CGGUGUUUAACUGGCGUGAUGUGGGACGUCCUACCGGUGGGCUUAGCCUCGCGAGGGGCGGCCCAACUAAUAUCCCGUCGCGGUGCUCUUUACUGAGUGUCGAGUCGGGCCGGUACGUUUACUUUGAACAAAUUAGAGUGCUUAAAGCAGGCUAUCCUCGCCUGAAUACUGCGUGCAUGGAAUAAUGGAAUAGGACCUCGGUUCUAUUUUGUUGGUUUUCGGAACCCCGAGGUAAUGAUUAAUAGGGACAGAUGGGGGCAUUCGUAUUGCGACGUUAGAGGUGAAAUUCUUGGAUCGUCGCAAGACGGACAGAAGCGAAAGCAUUUGCCAAAAAUGUUUUCAUUAAUCAAGAACGAAAGUUAGAGGUUCGAAGGCGAUCAGAUACCGCCCUAGUUCUAACCAUAAACGAUGCCAGCUAGCGAUCCGCCGAAGUUCCUCCGAUGACUCGGCGGGCAGCUUCCGGGAAACCAAAGCUUUUGGGUUCCGGGGGAAGUAUGGUUGCAAAGCUGAAACUUAAAGGAAUUGACGGAAGGGCACCACCAGGAGUGGAGCCUGCGGCUUAAUUUGACUCAACACGGGAAACCUCACCAGGCCCAGACACCGGAAGGAUUGACAGAUUGAUAGCUCUUUCUUGAUUCGGUGGGGUGGGUGGUGCAUGGCCGUUUUUAGUUGGUGGAGCGAUUUGUCUGGUUAAUUCCGAUAACGAACGAGACUCUAGCCUGCUAAAUAGGCGUACCUUAUGGUAUCGCGAAGGCCCCCGGCUUCGGCCGGUGGGUUUUUACUACCAACGUACAAACAAAUCUUCUGGAGGGACAGGCGG
rnacentral:rRNA from 1 species